ACUCCACCGCCUCAGGGCUCAGAAUUCAGAAUAGAUUGGUGUGUAGCACAGUGUAGCAGCACAGCAAUUUGUAUAUAAAAUCAUGAGUUGGGAGCCCGGUCAGCCCGGAGCGGAAGCUUUUAGUAAUAAGAAGAAGAAGAUACAUAUAAAUAUAUAAUAACUGAAUAACAUAACAAUUCUCUCGAUGACUUCAAUUCUUUAUCACAGUGGAGUGUGGACUUAGUAGAUCCAACUUUUGAGCAGAAUAAUCAUGCUUGAUAAUGAAGUCAGAUAGAAUGGCGGAAAUCUUCAACCAUAACUACAAAAUAAACAAUAUUUGAGAUUCUUAUGAAAAAAAGGCUACUAAGCAUACACAUAUUUACAGUUACGACUUUAUCGAGAAUAAAUAGAAUGGCUGGUCCCAGAAAGAAAUAAUGGAAGUAUGGCUCCUGUAUGUAGGAUAAUAGAAUAGAGUAGAUGAAAUGGAUUUGCAGUCACACAUGAUGCAAAGGCAAUUACAAGUGUUAAAAAUAAAAUUGAAUUUUAUAUAAAGA